rnacentral:rRNA from 1 species
UACGUAGGUGGCAAGCGUUGUCCGGAUUUAUUGGGUUUAAAGGGUGCGCAGGCGGCCUUAUAAGUCAGUGCUGAAAUAUCCCGGCUUAACCGGGAGGGUGGCAUUGAUACUGUAGGGCUUGAGUAAAGUUGAGGUUGGCGGAAUUGACGGUGUAGCGGUGAAAUGCUUAGAUAUCGUCAAGAACACCUAUUGCGAAGGCAGCUAACUAAGCUUUAACUGACGCUGAUGCACGAAAGUGUGGGGAUCAAACAGG